GGGGGCGUAAAGGUUUCGACGGGAGUUGUGAACCUGAGUAAGCGAGCAGUGGUCGGAAACCACUUUAAAAUUUCGAACUUUUUAAAAUUAAACGACAAUAAUUUACAACUUCGUGCUGCUUAAUUAGCAGCACCGUUCCUGCAUUGAAUACUGCGGCUUUGCAAGGAGCGUCAUUUUGCAGUGAACGUGAACACGAGAGCACCUUGUAUCGUGUCAUGCAUUAAAGGUUACCAAGUAUAGUAGCUUGUUAUUGGGCGACUAUGCAAGGGAAUGUAAUCCAAUAACUGCGCUCGGAGAAAGCUUUGGCAAAUGAUUUUCGGACAGGAGUUCGAUUCUCCUCGCCUCCACCA
rnacentral:tmRNA from 1 species